GGUGCCAUGUUCGGUGGGCCGCAAUGGCGUCAGCUCAUGUUCAAGUAGUGGUCUGAAAAUAAGACCGAAUUAUGGGUUUGAGAACGUAACGAGGCCCUGUAAUGAGCUCUGGGCUUCUCUAUGUCCCGAUCAUCGUGUGCACGUCACUACCCACCCGACCAGUGGGGUUACAUAAAUACCUUUUUUUUUUUUUUUUUAGAAGAAACGAACGGACAUUUUCUCAAAAAUAAAAAAUUAAGAAUGGAAAUUUCUUCUAUGAGGUCAGUCUAAGAACGGACCCUGCAUAUUUUAUUAGGAAAAUGAUAUACCAUAUCAGUUUACAUAACAGCCUGCAUGGUAUUAAAAAUCUAUUCUUCUUUUUUCUUUUUAUAUCUCCUACAAGGGAUUAAAGUUGUGAAGCACCAAAUCUAGAAUUUCAUAUUCUCACCGCACAAAAGCUCACCUCAUCUACCCCCAAAAAUUUCAAACCCAUCUAGCCACCACCGUCCACACUGGCAUCAUAGGUAAGUCUCUCUGCUCUCAUUGGUAUCAUCUGGGCUUUUGCAGCUAUCCUCACAAUGGCUGGUGCUUACAACAAUGUAACAGAACAGACUAAAAUGAGUUACUGCACAAAUCAUUCCUUCCUCAUACAAUCUGCUCCAUGGAUUGAAAUUCCAUACCCAUUUCAGUGGAGUACUUCGAUAUUCAGAGCAAGCCAUGUCUUUGGAAUGAUAGGGGCAGCACUCACUACAUCCAUAGGUUCAUUUGCUAUUCCAAAAAAAAAAUUCCAAUUUAGAAUCUUUUGAAAAAUUCAUCAUUAUGUCUUGUAUCAGCCCAUUAUAAACAAUUGAUUGACUUACCCUUUUGUACUAGAUUUCCACAAACGUGGCUAAUGUAAAUAUUGAAACAUUCCACAUUGAUGUAGAACCUAUAAGUUUAAUUUAAUUCAUUGGUCUCUUUUCCUUGAUGAAGUGUUCAUUAAACUUUUAGCAGUCAACUGGAACAUUUUUUUGUAACAACAUGUCUUUCAGUUGCUACACCCCCUUCGACACACAUUCUCAGUCAAAGUAUUGGCCAUUAGGUACAGUCAUGGGCUGUCACACCUCUCUCUCAGUUAUGUAAAUAUAUAUAUAUAUGAUUGCUUUUAACAAAAGAUGAAUGAAUACUGAUAUGCUUUACUAUUUAGAAUAUAAAAUUAAGGCUUAUAUCAUCCAAUGUAGGGUGUUGGCAUGCUGCUUGAAGGGAUCUUUGGUUCUGCUGUUGGUACCACUGCAUCUGUGUAAGAAACCAACACUUUAUGAUCAAUAUACUAGUCUAUUUUGUGUCUUCACUUAGCAUGAAUGUCAACUAUUCCUAUAAAUGUUUAGCAAAACAAUUAUUGGGAUAGUAGUUUAGCCUAGUAGUUAAGUAUGCUCCAUUGUGAGAAACCUCAAGCCCUAGAAUGGUUUGAUCAUUCUAUGGACCACUCAGGUCCCGUUGGGUCGAGGAUUGUGCUUGUCUUAUAUGUCUAACUACUUAUCAUAGAACCAAAUUUGUAAGAUUAUGAUACAUUGUAAAAUCACUUUCAUACAAUGUUUUUGUAUAUCUAUUAUGCUA